AAAGUACUCCCUCUGUCCCAAAAUUAUUGUCUUAUAUUUGUCUAGAUACAGAUGUAUCAAAUCACAUUUUAGUAUUAGAUACAUCCGUAUCUAGACAAAUCUAAGACAAGAAAUUUGGGACAGAGGGAGUAGUUG
rnacentral:pre_miRNA from 1 species